rnacentral:tRNA from 1 species
AAGAAAUUAGUUAAAUUUAUAACAUUAGAAUGUCAAACUAAAAUUAUUGAAAUAUUAAUAUUUCUUA